rnacentral:rRNA from 1 species
CUAUUCAGCGGCGGACGGGUGAGUAAUGCCUAGGAAUCUGCCUGGUAGUGGGGGACAACGUCGAAAGGAACGCUAAUACCGCAUACGUCUACGGGAGAAAGCAGGGGACCUUCGGGCCGCGCUAUCAGAUGAGCCUAGGUCGGAUUAGCUAGUUGGUGAGGUAAUGGCUCACCAAGGACGAUCCGCAACUGGUCUGAGAGGAUGAUCAGUCACACUGGAACUGAGACACGGUCCACUCCUACGGGAGGCAGCAGUGGGGAAUAUUGGACAAUGGGCGAAAGCCUGAUCCAGCUGCCGCGUGUGUGAAGAAGGUCUUCGGAUUGUAAAGCACUUUAAGUUGGGAGGAAGGGGUAAAUUAAUACUUUGCUGUUUUGACGUUACCGACAGAAUAAGCACCGGCUAACUCUGCCAGCAGCCGCGGUAAUACAGAGGGUGCAAGCGUUAAUCGGAAUUACUGGGCGUAAAGCGCGUAGGUGGUUUGUUAAGUUGGAUGUGAAAUCCCCGGGCUCAACCUGGGAACUGCACAAAACUGGCAAGCUAGAGUAUGGUAGAGGGUGGUGGAAUUUCCUGUGUAGCGGUGAAGCGUAGAUAUAGGAAGGAACACCAGUGGCGAAGGCGACCACCUGGACUGAUACUGACAGAGGUGCGAAAGCGUGGGGAGCAAACAGGAUUAGAUACCCUGGUAGUCCACGCCGUAAGAUGUCAACUAGCCGUUGGGAGCCUUGAGCUCUUAGUGGCGCAGCUAACGCAUAAGUG